AGGUAAGCUACUAAGAGCGAAUGGUGGAUGCCUUGACUGGUAAAGGCGAUGAAGGACGUACUAGACUGCGAUAAGCUACGGGGAGCUGUCAAGAAGCUUUGAUCCGUAGAUUUCCGAAUGGGGCAACCCAAUGUAUAGAGAUAUACAUUACCUAUAUAGGAGCGAACGAGGGGAAUUGAAACAUCUUAGUACCCUCAGGAAAAGAAAUCAAUAGAGAUUGCGUCAGUAGCGGCGAGCGAAAGCGCAAGAGGGCAAACCCAGUGCUUGCACUGGGGGUUGUAGGACUGCAAUGUGCAAGAGCUGAGUUUAGCAGAACAUUCUGGAAAGUAUAGCCAUAGAGGGUGAUAGUCCCGUAUGCGAAAAACAAAGCUUAGCUAGCAGUAUCCUGAGUAGGGCGGGACACGAGGAAUCCUGUCUGAAUCCGGGUCGACCACGAUCCAACCCUAAAUACUAAUACCAGAUCGAUAGUGCACAAGUACCGUGAGGGAAAGGUGAAAAGAACUGAGGUGAUCAGAGUGAAAUAGAACCUGAAACCAUUUGCUUACAAUCAUUCAGAGCACUAUGUAGCAAUACAGUGUGAUGGACUGCCUUUUGCAUAAUGAGCCUGCGAGUUGUGGUGUCUGGCAAGGUUAAGCAAACGCGAAGCCGUAGCGAAAGCGAGUCUGAAUAGGGCGCUUAGUCAGAUGCUGCAGACCCGAAACGAAGUGAUCUAUCCAUGAGCAAGUUGAAGCUAGUGUAAGAACUAGUGGAGGACUGAACCCAUAGGCGUUGAAAAGCCCCGGGAUGACUUGUGGAUAGGGGUGAAAGGCCAAUCAAACUUCGUGAUAGCUGGUUCUCUCCGAAAUAUAUUUAGGUAUAGCGUUGUGUCGUAAUAUAAGGGGGUAGAGCACUGAAUGGGCUAGGGCAUACACCAAUGUACCAAACCCUAUCAAACUCCGAAUACCUUAUAUGUAAUCACAGCAGUCAGGCGGCGAGUGAUAAAAUCCGUCGUCAAGAGGGAAACAACCCAGACUACCAGCUAAGGUCCCUAAAUCUUACUUAAGUGGAAAACGAUGUGAAGUUACUUAAACAACCAGGAGGUUGGCUUAGAAGCAGCCAUCCUUUAAAGAAAGCGUAAUAGCUCACUGGUCUAGUGAUUUUGCGCGGAAAAUAUAACGGGGCUAAAGUAAGUACCGAAGCUGUAGACUUGCACACAACUUAGAUUAUUUAAGUUUAGAAUAUGAGAAACUAAGUUAUAUGUUUAGUUAUAUUUUUACUGAUUUUUAUAGAGUAAAGAUAGAAAUAAAACUUAGUAAAAUCAGUAAAAAUAUUCUUAGGCUAAAGUUAAGUAGUUUAAGUUGUGUGCAAGUGGUAGGAGAGCGUUCUAUUUGCGUCGAAGGUAUACCGGUAAGGAGUGCUGGAGCGAAUAGAAGUGAGCAUGCAGGCAUGAGUAGCGAUAAUUAAUGUGAGAAUCAUUAACGCCGUAAACCCAAGGUUUCCUACGCGAUGCUCGUCAUCGUAGGGUUAGUCGGGUCCUAAGUCGAGUCCGAAAGGGGUAGACGAUGGCAAAUUGGUUAAUAUUCCAAUACCAACAUUAGUGUGCGAUGGAAGGACGCUUAGGGCUAAGGGGGCUAGCGGAUGGAAGUGCUAGUCUAAGGUUGUAGGAGGUUAUACAGGCAAAUCCGUAUAACAAUACUCCGAGAACUGAAAGGCUUUUUGAAGUCUUCGGAUGGAUAGAAGAACCCCUGAUGCCGUCGAGCCAAGAAAAGUUUCUAAGUUUAGCUAAUGUUGCCCGUACCGUAAACCGACACAGGUGGGUGGGAUGAGUAUUCUAAGGCGCGUGGAAGAACUCUCUUUAAGGAACUCUGCAAAAUAGCACCGUAUCUUCGGUAUAAGGUGUGGUUAGCUUCGUACUAGGAUUUACUCCGAAAGCGAAGAAACUUACAACAAAGAGUCCCUCCCGACUGUUUACCAAAAACACAGCACUCUGCUAACUCGUAAGAGGAUGUAUAGGGUGUGACGCCUGCCCGGUGCUCGAAGGUUAAUUGAUGGGGUUAGCAUUAGCGAAGCUCUUGAUCGAAGCCCGAGUAAACGGCGGCCGUAACUAUAACGGUCCUAAGGUAGCGAAAUUCCUUGUCGGUUAAAUACCGACCUGCAUGAAUGGCGUAACGAGAUGGGAGCUGUCUCAAAGAGGGAUCCAGUGAAAUUGUAGUGGAGGUGAAAAUUCCUCCUACCCGCGGCAAGACGGAAAGACCCCGUGGACCUUUACU
rnacentral:rRNA from 1 species